rnacentral:rRNA from 1 species
AUCGUAGGGGGCGAGCGUUGUCCGGAAUGAUUGGGCGUAAAGGGCGCGUAGGCGGCGCGGUAAGUCUGGAGUGAAAGUCCUGCUUUCAAGGUGGGAAUUGCUUUGGAUACUGCCGCGCUUGAGUGCAGGAGAGGUUAUCGGAAUUCCCGGUGUAGCGGUGAAAUGCGUAGAGAUCGGGAGGAACACCAGUGGCGAAGGCGGGUAACUGGACUGCAACUGACGCUGAGGCGCGAAAGUGUGGGGAGCAAACAGGAUUAGAUACCCUGGUAGUCCACACUGUAAACGAUGAAUGCUAGGUGUAAGAGGUAUCGACCCCUUUUGUGCCGGAGUCAACACAAUAAGCAUUCCGCCUGGGGAGUACGGCCGCAAGGUUGAAACUCAAAUGAAUUGACGGGG